rnacentral:rRNA from 1 species
AGUGAACGCUGGCGGUAGGCCUAACACAUGCAAGUCGAACGGCAGCACAGUAAGAGCUUGCUCUUACGGGUGGCGAGUGGCGGACGGGUGAGGAAUACAUCGGAAUCUACUUUUUCGUGGGGGAUAACGUAGGGAAACUUACGCUAAUACCGCAUACGACCUACGGGUGAAAGCAGGGGAUCUUCGGACCUUGCGCGACUGAAUGAGCCGAUGUCGGAUUAGCUAGUUGGCGGGGUAAAGGCCCACCAAGGCGACGAUCCGUAGCUGGUCUGAGAGGAUGAUCAGCCACACUGGAACUGAGACACGGUCCGGACUCCUACGGGAGGCAGCAGUGGGGAAUAUUGGACAAUGGGCGCAGGCCUGAUCCAGCCAUACCGCGUGGGUGAAGAAGGCCUUCGGGUUGUAAAGCCCUUUUGUUGGGAAAGAAAAGCAGCAGGUUAAUACCCCGCUGUUCUGACGGUACCCAAAGAAUAAGCACCGGCUAACUUCGUG